AAAAGAGACUGCAUGCAUUAUCUGGAGUGGGGGCCAGAGAACAGCCUCCUGUAAUAGGAAAUGAACAGGACAGCUUCCUGCUAAACACAUCUUCCAGGGAAUUUUCCCCAAAGCAACAGUGAGUGGCUCUCACAUCUCCAACUCUUCUUAUACUAAAAUGUGCUUAUCUUGAGUGACGACUUGUAGGAGCUGUGCUCUAAAGAAAAAUUUGAGAAGAGUCAUUUUCCUUUUUUGAGAAGCUGCAAAAAUGAAAUGGCUUAUGGUGAAAUGGCUGUGAUAGUAACUGCUACAGGCCACUGAGAACUCUUGUCUGACCUGGGGAGACCUAGACAGACUAACGUCAGGCGGAAGGGCUGACAGUCAACCUACUCAGCACCGUCUUCCUGCAACCUGAAUUUUGAGCAAGUCAUAAACGAGAGAAAGAAUUAGAAACAAAAGUGCUGGAGGCAGGUGCCAGCUUAUCUAUUUUACAUACAAGAACACGGAAGACUCAGGUUUCCGACCUGCCCCAGAUUGCAGAAAUCAGUCCUUAGGAGGAAAGACAGAAAUGACACAGCAGAUUAGAAAAGUUUUAUAAGAGCUGGGCAGGGCUGGGGCACUUUCAGGAAGUACGUACCAGCCCCCAUUACUGGAACUCCAGUAAAGAAAAGUCCCUUGACUAGUCCAAAAAAACAAAAGACUACAACUAUAACAUUCUUUUCAAACCAACUGGAAUCAAGCUGUUGGUGACGGUCCUUUCCAUGUCACAAAGCGGAGUUGGGGAGUAUCCACACUCAGAUCUUCUGAAUGGGAGUCACCAGUAAGGUAAUCUUGAAGCCUCGACCAUUCUUCACACGUAUUUGGUGGUGUGUGUUUGUCUGUCUCUCACUCACACUCAUACACACUCACACACACACACACGGUAAUCUCAGUCUACCCUCUCAAGGCUCACACUCAACGUAUGCGGUCUUUCUCCUUCUGCCAGCUCAUCUUUGGUGAGCGUCACUACGUGCUGAACUCUGUAAUGCGCCACACUACCCCACUUCAGAGCUGUUCUGAAAACAGAGAAUGCACGGAGAACACCUGACACAAAGUAUUCAGUUUGCGUCUUAAGCAAGAUCACUCUGGCUGCUAUUUGGAGGACUCGAUCAGAGUGGGAGACUAAAGGCUGUUGAAGUUUUUCAGGUUUAUUUCACAACCAAACCAAGCAGAGGCUGCCGGACACCCAGCCUCCCUGUCUUGCACAAGGGGGGAAUGCCAACCAGAAUUCAGCAGCACGGCGCCCACACCCCUCACCACCUCCAC